AUUGAACGCUGGCGGCAGGCCUAACACAUGCAAGUCGAGCGGAUGAAGGGAGCUUGCUCCUGGAUUCAGCGGCGGACGGGUGAGUAAUGCCUAGGAAUCUGCCUGGUAGUGGGAGAUAACGUCCGGAAACGGGCGCUAAUACCGCAUACGUCCUGAGGGAGAAAGUGGGGGAUCUUCGGACCUCACGCUAUCAGAUGAGCCUAGGUCGGAUUAGCUGGUUGGUGGGGUAAAGGCCUACCAAGGCGACGAUCCGUAACUGGUCUGAGAGGAUGAUCAGUCACACUGGAACUGAGACACGGUCCAGACUCCUACGGGAGGCAGCAGUGGGGAAUAUUGGACAAUGGGCGAAAGCCUGAUCCAGCCAUGCCGCGUGUGUGAAGAAGGUCUUCGGAUUGUAAAGCACUUUAAGUUGGGAGGAAGGGCAGUAAGUUAAUACCUUGCUGUUUUGACGUUACCAACAGAAUAAGCACCGGCUAACUUCGUG
rnacentral:rRNA from 1 species